rnacentral:rRNA from 1 species
AGUCGUAACAAGGUAUCUGUAGGUGAACCUGCAGAUGGAUCAUUUCGAUGAAAACCUUUUUUCUUGAGGUGUGGCUCGCACCUGUCUAACUAAAUCGAGCUACCACAUUUUAACACGGUUGCAUCGGUUGGCUGUCAAACAGUGCGCGCGGCGAUUUAUUUCGCCUCCCCGCGCAUUGCCGAGACGGUCGACAUUUACCAAAAACACUGUUGAUACCAUAGGAUUUGAACGUAGAUGAAACUCGACUGGUAAUGCGGUCGUCUAAAAUCUAAAAACAACUUUUGGCAACGGAUCUCUUGGUUCUCCCAUCGAUGAAGAACGCAGCGAAUUGCGAUAAGUAAUGUGAAUUGCAGAAGUGAAUCAUCGAAUCUUUGAACGCACCUUGCGCUCCCGGCAGAUCUAAUCUGGGGAGCAUGCCUGUUUGAGGGCCGCGAAUUGUUUCGAACGACAGCUUUCUUAUUUAGUUGAGAAAGCUGGCGGAUCGGUAUUGAGGGUCUUGCCAUCUUCCACGGUGGCUCCCUCGAAAUGCAUUAGCGCAUCCAUUCGAUAGGCAAGACGGACGAAAGCUCGUUAUUUCGCCCACGUCUUUCCCUGCCGGGUUUUGAUAAUAUCAGGACUAAAAGUCG